rnacentral:lncRNA from 1 species
GCAGAAAGUAUUCAACAGAAUCACUGAUGCCUCUGCCCUGCGACUUGUCGAUAAGAGAAUGAGCAGCAGUGGCCCGUGCGCUCCAUCAACCACGCCAGCCUCAUCUCUGCACUCUCCCGGGACUAUCGCAACCUGAAGCCCAGUGCUGUUGCCCCACAGAGAAAGAUGCCACUGGAUGACACCAAACUGAUUAUCCACCAGACACUCAGCGUCUUAGAAGAUAUUGUGGAGAAUAUCUCGGGGGAGUCCACCAAGUCUCGACAGAUUUGCUACCAGUCGCUGCAGGAAUCUGUUCAGGUCUCCCUGGCCCUCUUUCCAGCUUUUAUCCAU